rnacentral:rRNA from 1 species
UACGUAGGUGGCGAGCGUUGUCCGGAUUUAUUGGGCGUAAAGCGCGCGCAGGCGGUAUCGUAAGUCCGGUGUGAAAGCGCCCGGCUCAACUGGGCGAGGUCAUUGGAGACUGCGAUGCUGGAGGGUGGCAGAGGCCGGUGGAAUUCCCGGUGUAGUGGUGAAAUGCGUAGAGAUCGGGAGGAACACCAGUGGCGAAGGCAGCCCCCUGGGCCGACAUUGACGCUCAGGCACGAAAGCGUGGGGAGCAAACAGG